AUAAAGUUUUAUUUUGGCUUUUGAAUUAGCUAUGUGAUUUUUUUAUAUGUAAAUUUUCGUGUUGUAAAGAUGUUUAAAUAACUUAUUUUAUUUGCAGUAUUUAAUUUUAAAUUUUAGGUUCUUCUAGAUUUAGAAAUUUGUUUUAGUAUAAACAAAAUUUGUGCCAGCAGUAGCGGUUAUACAAAUUAUGCAGGCUAAUUUUUUUAGGUUUAAUUUAGUGAUAUUUAUAAAUUUUGAAUUGGUUUUCUUAGGUGAAAUUUGAAAGCUUUUUAAAUUUUUUAUUAUGUUCUGAGGUUAGGAAAUUUUUUUUUAGACUAGGAUUAGAUACCCUAUUAUUUUAAAUGUUAAUAUUUAUCCUUGAUUAUUAUUAGUUAUGUUCUAUAAAAUUAAAAAAUUUGGCGGUAUUUUAGUCUAUUCAGAGGAACCUGUUUUUUGAUCGAUAUUCCACGAUAAUUUAUACUUUAACUUUAAAUUUAUAUAUCGUCGUUGUUAAAAAUUUUAGGAAAAUUUUAAUUUUUAUGAUUUUUAAUUUUAUAAUAAUUCAGAUCAAGGUGUAGUUUAUGUUAAAGUUAAAAUGGGUUACAUUAAAUUUAUUUGUGGUUUUUUUAUUUAAAAUUUUAGAUAAAAUGGAUUUGAUAGUAAAUUUUUUUAUUUAUUAAAGUUGAUUUAGCUCUAAAAUAUGUACAUAUCGCCCGUCGCUUUCAUUAUAAGAUGAAAUAAGUCGUAACAAAGUAGGCUUAUUGGAAAAUGUGCCUGGAAUGA
rnacentral:ncRNA from 1 species